rnacentral:tRNA from 1 species
GCCUUCCUGGUUUAGCGGUCAGCGCGCUGGGUGCGUAUUCCAGAGGUCCGUGGUUCAAGUCCCGGCGAAGGCA